UACGUAGGGUGCGAGCGUUAAUCGGAAUUACUGGGCGUAAAGCGUGCGCAGGCGGUUCGUUAAGUCAGCUGUGAAAGCCCCGGGCUCAACCUGGGAACUGCGGUUGAAACUGGCGAACUAGAAUCUGGCAGAGGGGGGUGGAAUUCCACGUGUAGCAGUGAAAUGCGUAGAGAUGUGGAGGGACACCGAUGGCGAAGGCAGCCCCCUGGGCUAAGAUUGACGCUCAGGCACGAAAGCGUGGGGAGCAAACAGG
rnacentral:rRNA from 1 species